AAGGGGUACACGAUUGACUUACCUCCACGUGGUACCCCCUGGGCAACGUAUACUUAUGCGGCAAAAAAGUCCAU
rfam:Hymenolepis nana genome assembly, scaffold: HNAJ_contig0005283